UACGGAGGGUGCAAGCGUUGUCCGGAAUCACUGGGCGUAAAGGGCGCGUAGGCGGCUCAUGAAGGCUGUGGUGAAAGUCCGGGGCUCAACCUCGGAUCGGCCGUGGCGACUCGUGGGCUGGAGCACUGUAGAGGCGGGUGGAAUUCCGGGUGUAGCGGUGGAAUGCGUAGAGAUCCGGAGGAACACCAGUGGCGAAGGCGGCCCGCUGGGCAGUGACUGACGCUGAGGCGCGACAGCGUGGGGAGCAAACAGG
rnacentral:rRNA from 1 species